UUCGGUGCGUAAACUCCUUUUAUAUGAGAAGAUAAUGACGGUAUCAUAUGAAUAAGCACCGGCUAACUCCGUGCCAGCAGCCGCGGUAAUACGGGGGGUGCAAGCGUUACUCGGAAUCACUGGGCGUAAAGAGCAUGUAGGCGGAUUGAUAAGUUUGAAGUGAAAUCCUAUAGCUUAACUAUAGAACUGCUUUGAAAACUGUUAAUCUAGAAUGUGGGAGAGGUAGAUGGAAUUUCUGGUGUAGGGGUAAAAUCCGUAGAGAUCAGAAGGAAUACCGAUUGCGAAGGCGAUCUACUGGAACACUAUUGACGCUGAGAUGCGAAAGCGUGGGGAGCAAACAGGAUUAGAUACCCUGGUAGUCCACGCCCUAAACGAUGUACACUAGUUGUUGUGAGACUUGAUCUUGCAGUAAUGCAGUUAACACAUUAAGUGUACCGCCUGGGGAGUAC
rnacentral:rRNA from 1 species